UAAGAGGAGAUAACGAACUGA
rnacentral:piRNA from 1 species